rnacentral:rRNA from 1 species
UACGGGGGGAGCAAGCGUUGUUCGGAUUUACUGGGCGUAAAGGGCGCGUAGGCGGCGUAACAAGUCACUUGUGAAAUCUCCACGCUUAACGUGGAGGGGCCAUUCGAAACUGCUGUGACUCGAGUCCGGUAGGGGAGUGUGGAAUUCCCGGUGUAGCGGUGAAAUGCGCAGAUAUCGGGAGGAACACCAGUAGCGAAGGCGGCACUCUGGGCCGGUACUGACGCUGAGGAGCGAAAGCGUGGGGAGCGAACAGG